UGUUCAAUGACUUUGUUAUCUUUCUAAUAAUAAAAAAUUUUAUAUUUUUUUUGAUAAAAAAAUUCAUUCUUUUUUAUUAAAAAAUUUAAAUAGAUGAAAAGCGUUCCAUAAAAACUAAAAACUAAACAAUUUUUUUGUUAUAAAAAAUGAGUAUGGUUAUAUGUUAUCAUGAUGAAAAAGAAUAUUUUUUCAUAAUGAGUCUUAUUAGUUUCUGUAUUGCUUUUUAAUAAUAUGAAAGCUUAUUAUCGAACAAAUAUCGAUGUUGUUAAUUAAUUACAAAGUGGAAAGUGCAAUAACUUGUAUGCAGAGAUGUCAUAAAUACAUUUUUAGAAAAUAUUUUUUCGAUAACUCUCCAUAUAUAGUAUAUAUAUAUUCUGUAUAUUUGCAUAACAUAUUUUGAAAAUAUAUACAUAAACUUUUUCAUGAUUAAAUUUUAAUGGUUACUCAAUGUUAGAUUAAUACAUUCGUGAAACAUCUUUGAAAAAUUUGUUUGUGAUGAUGUGAACUGGUCAGAAGAUGAUAUAAAUAAUUUGAAUAGAAUUAAAAACCUUGUGUUAUACGUAGUAUUAUCUUCCAUUGGAAUAACUGGAAGUUGAUAAGGAGGCUUCUCAGCCCAAGGUUUUUCAACUGGAACUAUACUUUCCACAGGUUGAUAACUCAACUGCAUAGUAGUAUCUGAUUCAAAUGGAAUAUCUGAUGGACGACAAGAACGUACAGGUGCAUAUUUUUGAGGAGGUGAAGUUGCAGGAACAAGAUUGUCAUGGUAACGAAGAUCUGGAUCUAAUGGUAUAUUCUUCCAUGUAUAAUCAUGUCUUUGUGUAGUUACAUCUUGUAUGGGCCCGCGACCUAGCCAUUGUUUCUCACAAGGUAAAAUUGGAGGUUCUGUUUUGAAACACCAAUUACCUAAGAAACUCAUCUGAAAAAAAAAGAACAUGGAUAUAAACCGAUUUUUCAUUUCUGAUAAUCUGACAAAAAAAUGUUCCGAAUAAAAAUUAAUCUUUUUUAUAUUUAUAAAUUUAUAAUAUAAUAUAAUUUUUCCAAGUUUUUUCAAAAAAGGAAAUACGCUUAAAAAAUUGAAAACUAGUAUUGAUAAACUUGAAAUUAUUUCUUUCUUAAUUUACAUUAAUCUACAUUAAUUUUUAAUUUUUAUAUUAUUGUAUAUAAUAUAUUUUUUUAAAUACAUUAUAUAUAAAUAAUGAAAAAAAUAAAAAAGUUUAAACUCUAAUCGCUUUAAAAUAUCAGAGAAUGUUACAUUGCAAUUUUAAAAAUAAAAAGAUUAAAAUAUUGCGCGUAAAAAGUUUUGUGAUACAUUAAUAUUCUUAGAAAUUUCUCGAGGCAUUGAGGAAUCAUGUUUUUUAUUUUAUUUCAUAAUUACUUUGAAUGAUAGAAAAAAAUUAUAUUUUUAUAUUAAAUUUGACAUUUAUACGAUCCAGCAUAUAUCAAGCAUUUUAUAAUUAUUAAUAUAUUAUAAUUAUUAGAUUAAUAUUUCAAUAUAUAUGAAGAUGAGGAACAUGAUAAAUAAAAAAUAUUUUAUAUUUUAAAAAAUAUCAUAUCAUUUAUCAUUAUGAUUUGAUAUCUAUUUUAUAUUUAUUAAUUUAAUAUUAUCUAUUUUAUAUCUAUUUUACUUACACGAUGAGUGGUAUCAUAAGACAAAGGACAAGAUGAAAAUUCAAUAUUAUUAGGUUGUAUUAUAGGAUUUCGUUUAUCCCCUCCACAACCAAAAUAACUUAGACGAUAAGUUGUAUUAUCGUCUGUGCAACAACCAGCACUUAAAAGAUUAUCGUUUUCCGGUAUUAUUAUUGGUGAACGUUUUUCUAUUGUCUGUGGCCAGUAACUUAAUUUAUAAGUUGUGCAACCCUCUAAUGGUUCUACUGGUGGCAUAUAUUCCUUUUUGCCCCAGGAAGGUUCUUCCUAAAAAGUAGUAAAUGUUAAAAAUAUAAAAAUAUAUUUUAAUAAUAAUGUGAAAAUUAAUGAAUUUGGCCAAUAACUAAGUUUAUAUGUCGUAUAAUCUUCCAUUGGAAUAUCAGAUUUAACAUAUUUUCUUAUGGGAGCAUAAGAUGGAGGAGGUAUUUUAGAAGCACAAUCAGAUUCAAAGUAACUUAAUUUAUAUGUUGUAUCGUCUAGAAAAGAUAUAAAAAUUUAAAUUAAGUUGUAAUAUAAAUUAUUCAUAAUAUAUAUAAAAAAAAAUAAUAUAAUAAAAAGAUAAUAAAAAAUAAUAAGAAAAUAUAGUAAAAAAAUUUUAAAUUAGAAUUAUUUGUUUAUAAUUUAAAAGAAAUUUUUAUAAAUUUCAAAUAUUCAAAUAUAAUUGUAAGAUAUAUUAUAUUAUGCCGAAAAUUACUAGAAAUUCUUUUAUCUAGAAACAUUACUAUUUUUAGUAAAAAUAUUAUGAUACAAGAUUAGGAAAGAAGAAUAUUAAAAAAUAAGGAAUAAUAUUCAUAAUUUUCAAUAUUCAUAAUUAUGAAUUAAUAUUCAUAAUUAGAGAAACUUUUAUUUUUGCUAUAAGUAAAAUAUAACGAUUUAAUGUAUAAAAAUAUAAUAAAAUUAGAAUAAGUUUC